GCCUCAGUGGCCAAGUGGUAAGGCGUCGGUCUCGUAAACUGAAGAUCAUGGGUUCAACCCCUAUCUGAGGCU
rnacentral:tRNA from 1 species